rnacentral:rRNA from 1 species
CCCGAAAGGUCGAAGGCGGAGAUUCAACUGUCUAAUCGUUUGUGUCGGCGUCGUCGGGGCGCGCAUUUGCGUGCGCUAAACUGAGACGAUGGCGCGUGCGCGUUUUUUCGGAAGCGCGUCGCGCUUCGCUCGGCCUCGACGCACGAGACCUGACCGCGAAGGCAUGCACUUCUCCGUCUGUAGGACGUCGCGACCCGUUGGGCGUCGGUCUAAGGCCCGUCGUGGCGACUGUUCUCGCGCUUUGCGGCGCGAGUGACAGACCGACGGUGUUUCUUUCCCGGCCGUGCGCCCGACGGUAUUGUCGAACGGACGGCGUUGGGUCGCGCGCCAAAUUUUUGGCGCGCGUUCGAUCGUCCGCAAGUGCGUGCGCGUUAGUCGACUUCGUGUCGCCGGCGGUCGGACCUGGUGCCGGCCCCGGACGCGCAUCACUGUUGGCGUUGUGCGAAUUUCGAACAGGCCCGAGUCGCGCGUCGUUUUUGCGGCGCGCGACGCGCCGUGUCGGCGACGCUAUAGCUUUGGGUACUUUCAGGACCCGUCUUGAAACACGGACCAAGGAGUCUAGCAUGUGCGCGAGUCACUGAGAUUUAUAUUAAACUCAAAGGCGUAAUGAAAGUGAAGGCACGUUGUUUUUACGCGACGGUAGCCGAGGGAAGAUCGGUCGCGCGCUCUCUAUUCCCACGCUUUACGGUGUGGGAAAGGAACGCGGCCGCGCACUCCCGGGGCGUCUCGUUCUCAUUGCGAGUUGAGGCGCACCUAGAGCGUACACGCUGGGACCCGAAAGAUGGUGAACUAUGCCUGGUCAGGACGAAGUCAGGGGAAACCCUGAUGGAGGUCCGUAGCGAUUCUGACGUGCAAAUCGAUCGUCGGAACUGGGUAUAGGGGCGAAAGACUAAUCGAACCAUCUAGUAGCUGGUUCCCUCCGAAGUUUCCCUCAGGAUAGCUGGCGCUCGCGUUCGCACGGCGCGCGUUUACGCGCGCGCCGUUCGCGUUCACGAGUCUCAUCUGGUAAAGCGAAUGAUUAGAGGCCUUGGGGCCGAAACGACCUCAACCUAUUCUCAAACUUUAAAUGGGUGAGAUCUCCGGCUUGCUCGAAUUGAUGAAGCCGCGAGAUAAUUAUGGAUCGAGAGUGCCAAGUGGGCCACUUUUGGUAAGCAGAACUGGCGCUGUGGGAUGAACCAAACGCAGAGUUAAAGCGCCUAAAUAGACGCUUAUGGGAUACCAUGAAAGGCGUUGGUUGCUUAAGACAGCAGGACGGUGGCCAUGGAAGUCGGAAUCCGCUAAGGAGUGUGUAACAACUCACCUGCCGAAGCAACUAGCCCUGAAAAUGGAUGGCGCUGAAGCGUCUUGCUUAUACUCUGCCGUCAGCGGCAAUUUGUGGCGGUCGCGGCGCGAGUCGCGAUCGUCGUGAAGCCCUGACGAGUAGGAGGGUCGCGACGGUGAGCGCAGAAGGAUUGGCCGCGAGGCUGUCUGGAGCCGCCGUCGGUGCAGAUCUUGGUGGUAGUAGCAAAUACUCCAGCGAGGCCCUGGAGGACUGACGUGGAGAAGGGUUUCGUGUGAACAGCCGUUGCACACGAGUCAGUCGAUCCUAAGCCCUAGGUGAAAACCGAUGUUGAUGUGGUGUGUUUUUAUAUAAAUAUAAUAAAAUUAUUAUAAUAGUUGUGCGAUGUUGUGAGUGUGUGGUAUCGCGACAAAAGAGUGAUUUAAAAUAAAAAUAUCAUAAAGAAAAAUAUUGUCAUGCGAAACGGAACACGCGCGCGGUGCGCGACAAUGACAAAUGAAUAAAUUAUAUAUAUUUAUUGUAUUGUUUUGUUGUGUCGUGUCGUGUCGUGUUGUUUUUUGUUUUCGCGACAGUUUCUUUUUUUUUUUUUUUUCUUCUCUCUCCGAUACGUCAUCAUAUACACACGUGUGUCACUUAUACUAUUUAUUGUUGUGCAUAUAUUUUACACCCGUUGGG